AUUGCCCUAGUAACGGCGAGUGAAGCGGCAACAGCUCAAAUUUGAAAUCUGGCUCUUUUAGAGUCCGAGUUGUAAUUUGCAGAGGGCGCUUUGGCUUUGGCAGCGGUCCAAGUUCCUUGGAACAGGACGUCACAGAGGGUGAGAAUCCCGUACGUGGUCGCUAGCUAUUGCCGUGUAAAGCCCCUUCGACGAGUCGAGUUGUUUGGGAAUGCAGCUCUAAAUGGGAGGUAAAUUUCUUCUAAAGCUAAAUACUGGCCAGAGACCGAUAGCGCACAAGUAGAGUGAUCGAAAGAUGAAAAGCACUUUGGAAAGAGAGUCAAACAGCACGUGAAAUUGUUGAAAGGGAAGCGCUUGCAGCCAGACUUGCUUGCAGUUGCUCAUCCGGGCUCUUUUGCCCGGUGCAUUCUUCUGCAGGCAGGCCAGCAUCAGUUUGGGCGGUGGGAUAAAGGUCUCUGUCACGUACCUCUCUUCGGGGAGGCCUUAUAGGGGAGACGACAUACCACCAGCCUGGACUGAGGUCCGCGCAUUUAUGCUAGGAUGCUGGCGUAAUGGCUGUAAGCGGCCCGUCUUGAAACACGGACCAAGGAGUCUAACAUCUAUGCGAGUGUUUGGGUGUCAAGCCCGAACGCGUAAUGAAAGUGAACGGAGGUGGGAACCCGCAAGGGUGCACCAUCGACCGAUCCUGAUGUCUUCGGAAGGAUUUGAGUAAGAGCAUGGCUGUUGGGACCCGAAAGAUGGUGAACUAUGCUUGAAUAGGGUGAAGCCAGAGGAAACUCUGGUGGAGGCUCGCAGCGGUUCUGACGUGCAAAUCGAUCGUCAAAUUUGGGCAUAGGGGCGAAAGACUAAUCGAAUAUCUAGUA
rnacentral:rRNA from 1 species